GACGAACGCUGGCGGCGUGCUUAACACAUGCAAGUCGAACGGAAAGGCCCUGCUUGCGGGGUACUCGAGUGGCGAACGGGUGAGUAACACGUGGGUGAUCUGCCCUCCACUUCUUGAUAAGCCUUGGAAACUGGGUCUAAUACCGGAUAUGAGCCAUUCUUAGUGUGAUGGGUGGAAAGUUUUUUCGGUGUAGGAUGAGCUCGCGGCCUAUCAGCUUGUUGGUGGGGUAAUGGCCGACCAAGGCGGCGACGGGUAGCCGGCCUGAGAGGGUGGACGGCCACAUUGGGACUGAGAUACGGCCCAGAGUCCUACGGGAGGCAGCAGUGGGGAAUAUUGCACCAUGGGCGCAAGCCUGAUGCAGCGACGCCGCGUGGGGGAUGACGGCCUUAGGGGUGUAAACUCCUUUCGCUAGGGACGAAGCUUUUUGUGACGGUACCUAGAGAAGAAGCACCGGCUAACUACGUG
rnacentral:rRNA from 1 species